rnacentral:lncRNA from 1 species
AUGAAAUCCAGACUCAAGGAUCAGAGGAAGACUCCUGGAGGAGGUGACAGAUAGACAUCUGAGCUAGCUCUUAAAGAAUAAUAAAGCAAUAGCUUGGGGAUGAAGGAAGAGAGGGAGAGGAACAUAAGAUUUUUCUAAUAAGCGACACCCCACGUGGCUUGUGCUAGUUUCGUCUUAAUGACUGGAUGUGAGGGAAGUGGCUCUUGGAGCGUGUUCAGGAUUUGUUAUUGAUGAAAAAGCUGUGCAAAGGGUGACAGCACCUUUAGGAAGAACGCUGGCAUUCGGAAUGGUGGCACCACGACUGUCAACAUUGAGAAAAGAAGGCCAACGGUGGGGGAAUGAGAGAUGAGAACGCAACAAAGAUGUCCCUCAGGAUUUCAAAGGACCCAACACUGACCCUUCACAUAGCUACUAUGACAGUGGAAAUUAGCACUGAAAGGUUGCGAGAACCAAAGAUGUUGCAUCCCUUCCAGUCAGUGUCCUCUUUCAGGUAAAAAUCUUUCCCCAGUCUUAAAAGGCUGGAAAAGGUGACUGUACCAUCAUAUGAACAGACAGCAGUGCAAAGCCAUCAGAAAAGUGAAAAAAUACAACACAAACCAAGGAACAUAACAAUUUUCAAGUAACUGAUGCAAGGAAAUGGAGAUCUGCAAAUCACUUGAAAAAGAACUUAAAAUAAAUUUUAAGGAAGCUCAGUGAGAUUCA